CUUGCUUCUCUUGAGAGCGGCGGACGGGUGAGUAAUGCCUAGGAAUCUGCCUGGUAGUGGGGGAUAACGUCCGGAAACGGACGCUAAUACCGCAUACGUCCUACGGGAGAAAGCAGGGGACCUUCGGGCCUUGCGCUAUCAGAUGAGCCUAGGUCGGAUUAGCUAGUUGGUGGGGUAAUGGCUCACCAAGGCGACGAUCCGUAACUGGUCUGAGAGGAUGAUCAGUCACACUGGAACUGAGACACGGUCCAGACUCCUACGGGAGGCAGCAGUGGGGAAUAUUGGACAAUGGGCGAAAGCCUGAUCCAGCCAUGCCGCGUGUGUGAAGAAGGUCUUCGGAUUGUAAAGCACUUUAAGUUGGGAGGAAGGGCAGUAAAUUAAUACUUUGCUGUUUUGACGUUACCGACAGAAUAAGCACCGGCUAACUCUGUGCCAGCAGCCGCGGUAAUACAGAGGGUGCAAGCGUUAAUCGGAAUUACUGGGCGUAAAGCGCGCGUAGGUGGUUCGUUAAGUUGGAUGUGAAAUCCCCGGGCUCAACCUGGGAACUGCAUUCAAAACUGACGAGCUAGAGUAUGGUAGAGGGUGGUGGAAUUUUCCUGUGUAAGCGGUGAAAAUGCGU
rnacentral:rRNA from 1 species